rnacentral:rRNA from 1 species
GAUGGACGCUGGCGGCGUGCCUAAUACAUGCAAGUCGAGCGAACAGAUAAGGAGCUUGCUCCUUUGACGUUAGCGGCGGACGGGUGAGUAACACGUGGGUAACCUACCUAUAAGACUGGGAUAACUUCGGGAAACCGGAGCUAAUACCGGAUAAUAUUUCGAACCGCAUGGUUCGAUAGUGAAAGAUGGUUUUGCUAUCACUUAUAGAUGGACCCGCGCCGUAUUAGCUAGUUGGUAAGGUAACGGCUUACCAAGGCGACGAUACGUAGCCGACCUGAGAGGGUGAUCGGCCACACUGGAACUGAGACACGGUCCAGACUCCUACGGGAGGCAGCAGUAGGGAAUCUUCCGCAAAGGGCGAAAGCCUGACGGAGCAACGCCGCGUGAGUGAUGAAGGUCUUCGGAUCGUAAAACUCUGUUAUUAGGGAAGAACAUACGUGUAAGUAACUGUGCACGUCUUGACGGUACCUAAUCAGAAAGCCACGGCUAACUACGUG